GGGAAGGGGGAUGCUUACCAUGCAGUCGAGCGGCAGCAUGCCCUUCGGGGUGAUGGCGAGCGGCGGACGGGUGAGUAAUACAUAGGAAUCUGCCCUAGAGUGGGGGAUAGCCCGGGGAAACUCGGAUUAAUACCGCAUAAUCUCUACGGAGCAAAGUGGGGGAUCUUCGGACCUCACGCUUUAGGAUGAGCCUAUGGCCGAUUAGCUUGUUGGUGAGGUAACGGCUCACCAAGGCCACGAUCGGUAGCUGGUUUGAGAGGAUGAUCAGCCACACUGGGACUGAGACACGGCCCAGACUCCUACGGGAGGCAGCAGUGGGGAAUAUUGGACAAUGGGCGAAAGCCUGAUCCAGCAAUUCCGCGUGUGUGAAGAAGGCCUUAGGGUUGUAAAGCACUUUAAUCAGGGAAGAAAAAGCUUUGGCUAAUAUCCAAAGCCUUGACGGUACCUGAAGAAUAAGCACCGGCAAACUCUGUGCCAGCAGCCGCGGUAAUACAGAGGGUGCGAGCGUUAAUCGGAUUUACUGGGCGUAAAGCGUGCGUAGGAGGCUUGUUAAGUCGGUUGUGAAAUCCCCGGGCUCAACCUGGGAACUGCAGUCGAUACUGGCAAGCUAGAGUUCGGUAGAGGGUGGUGGAAUUUCCGGUGUAGCGGUGAAAUGCGUAGAGAUCGGAAGGAACACCAAUGGCGAAGGCAACCACCUGGGCCUGAACUGA
rnacentral:rRNA from 1 species